GGGGCUGACUUGGAUUUCGACAGAUUUCUUGUCGCACAGAUAGCAUGCCAAGUGCUGCUUGUAAAACAGCAACAAAAAUAACUGUAAACAACGUAGAUUACGCUCCAGCUUACGCUAAAGUUGCGUGAGUUAAUCUCCUUUUGGAGCUGGACUGAUUAGAAUUUCUAGCGUUUUAAUCACUCCAUAACCUUAAGCUAGACGCUUUUAAAAGGUGGUUCGCCUUUUAAACUAAGAAACAAGAACUCUUGAAACUACCUCAAGGUUUUAGAAAGUUGGACCAGAGCUAGUUUUAAGGCUAAAAAAUUAACCAAUUUUCUAAGCAUUGUAGAAGUUUGUGUUUAGGACAAGAUUUUUGGACUGGGGUUCGAUUCCCCACAGCUCCACCA
rnacentral:tmRNA from 1 species